GUUUCAUUUAGAUAAGUGAAUGAAGUGAUACAGCACUAUAUAUUACAUAAACUACAGUCUUCAUUGGCACUUACUGUAGCACAGGCUCCUCCCAGCAGUCAGACCAAAUGACUUGAAUUUACUGCUGCUUUAACAGAUACAGAAAGAGGAAGGAGAUCACAACAUCUCUGCAUAUAUCCUUGGGGAUUUCAAUUGUAUAUUAUGGCACUCUGGAAAAGUGUCAUUGUGAUCAUAUUUUUAUAUAUCUGGGGAUGUAAAUCUCAAGACAAAGUUGAUCAGCACACAAAGAUUCAGUCUGCUUUUGAAGGUGAUGAUGUAACAAUCAACUGUACAUAUCAGACGUCUUACCCAAACCCGACUCUCUUCUGGUACCAGCAGAAAGUUAAUGGGAUCCCCAAGAACAUGUUGAAUAGAUAUUCUAACACUGGAGAAAAUGAGGAUGAAUUCAAGGAGAGAUUUCAAGCAAAUCUCAGCAAAACUUCAGUUCCUCUGACAAUCAAGAACCUGUGUGUGUCUGACUCUGCUGUGUAUUACUGUGCUCUGAAGCCCACUGUGACUCAAACACACUCAACACUCACACAAAAUCUCUCACAGUGCAACAGCAUCAGGGAGAGAUUUGCACAGUCAAUAACACCGCUGGAAAACAAGGUGCUUAAAUCUGCAGGAGAUGAAGUCACUCUGUCCUGUAAAUAUGAUGGAGCUGUAACUAACCUGCACUGGUAUCGUCAGUAUCCAGGAUCCAAACCAGAGUUCCUCGCAUACAUGUGA